UUGAGCAAAUACCGGAUAAGCCUUUCGAGGGAAAGAUUUAUCGCCAUUAGAGCGGCCCGCGUAGGAUUAGCUAGUUGGUGGGGUAAAGGCCCACCAAGGCUACGAUCCUUAGCUGGUCUGAGAGGAUGAUCAGCCACAUUGGGACUGAGACACGGCCCAAACUCCUACGGGAGGCAGCAGUGGGGAAUCUUGCGCAAUGGGCGAAAGCCUGACGCAGCCAUGCCGCGUGAAUGAUGAAGGUCUUAGGAUUGUAAAAUUCUUUCACCGGGGACGAUAAUGACGGUACCCGGAGAAGAAGCCCCGGCUAACUUCGUGCCAGCAGCCGCGGUAAUACGAAGGGGGCUAGCGUUGCUCGGAAUUACUGGGCGUAAAGGGAGCGUAGGCGGAUAGUUUAGUCAGAGGUGAAAGCCCAGGGCUCAACCUUGGAAUUGCCUUUGAUACUGGCUAUCUUGAGUACGGAAGAGGUAUGUGGAACUCCGAGUGUAGAGGUGAAAUUCGUAGAUAUUCGGAAGAACACCAGUGGCGAAGGCGACAUACUGGUCCGUUACUGACGCUGAGGCUCGAAAGCG
rnacentral:rRNA from 1 species